GGAUGGCUGAGUAGUUAAGGUGAUGUUCUGCUAAUUCAUUGUGCUCUGCAGACGUGGGUUCAAAUCCCAUCCUCAUCCA
rnacentral:tRNA from 1 species